UACGAAGGGGGCUGGCGUUGUUCGGAAUUACUGGGCGUAAAGCGCGCGCAGGUGGUCUUUCAAGUCAGUGGUGAAAGCCCGGAGCUCAACUCCGGAAAUGCCAUUGAAACUGUAAGACUUGAGGAUGAGAGAGGUGAGUGGAAUUCCCAGUGUAGAGGUGAAAUUCGUAGAUAUUGGGAAGAACACCGGUGGCGAAGGCGGCUCACUGGCUCAUAUCUGACGCUCAGGCGCGACAGCGUGGGGAUCAAACAGG
rnacentral:rRNA from 1 species